rnacentral:rRNA from 1 species
GACGAACGCUGGCGGCGUGCUUAACACAUGCAAGUCGAACGGAAAGGCCCUGCUUUUGUGGGGUGCUCGAGUGGCGAACGGGUGAGUAACACGUGAGUAACCUGCCCUUGACUUUGGGAUAACUUCAGGAAACUGGGGCUAAUACCGGAUAGGAGCUCCUGCUGCAUGGUGGGGGUUGGAAAGUUUCGGCGGUUGGGGAUGGACUCGCGGCUUAUCAGCUUGUUGGUGGGGUAGUGGCUUACCAAGGCUUUGACGGGUAGCCGGCCUGAGAGGGUGACCGGCCACAUGGGGCCUGAGAUACGGCCCAGACUCCUACGGGAGGCAGAAGUGGGGAAUAUUGCACAAUGGGCGGAAGCCUGAUGCAGCAACGCCGCGUGCGGAUGACGGCCUUCGGGUUGUAAACCGCUUUCGCCUGUGACGAAGCGUGAGUGACGGUAAUGGGUAAAGAAGCACCGGCUAACUACGUG